GACGAACGCUGGCGGCGUGCUUAACACAUGCAAGUCGAACGGAAAGGCCCUGCUUUUGUGGGGUGCUCGAGUGGCGAACGGGUGAGUAACACAUGAGUAACCUGCCCUUGUCUUUGGGAUAACUUCAGGAAACUGGGGCUAAUACCGGAUAGGAGCUCCUGCUGCAUGGUGUGGGUAGGAAAGUUUCGGCGGUGGGGGCUGGUCUCGCGGGUUAUCAGCUUGUUGGUGAGGUAGUGGCUUACCAAGGCUGUGACGGGUAGCCGGCCUGAGAGGGUGACCGGGGACAUGGGGACUGAGGUAGGGCGCAGAAGGCAACGGGAGGCAGCGGUGGGGAGCAUUGCGGAGUAGGGGGGAGCGUGAGGCGGCGACGCCGGGUGCGGGAUAACGGGUUACGGGUGAUGAACCGAUUUCGCCUGUGACGAAGCGUGCGUGACGGUAAUGGGUAAAGAAGCAACGGCUAACUACGUG
rnacentral:rRNA from 1 species